GUAAGUCAAAAAGAAGACAAUAAGCGGCCAUUCAACAUGUGAAGAUAUCGCCUGAGCUCACCUCCCUAAAAAAUACGGCAAUAUAAGCACGACAGUUUUAAAUGGACAAACUGAGCCAGAGCGGAAUUCACUUAUCCCCCCUCCGCAGUUCUCUACUGAGCUGAAUCAUCUCGUCUUAUCAUCUUAUGGAUAACAAUUUUUCUUUCGAAUCAUUUUUACUGCAUAUUCAUAGCCAGUUUGUAUGAAGUGUCAAUGAAUUUCCAUAAUUGAUCUUACACCACUUUGAAUCGUUAACUGAAAUAAUCAAUAUUUAUGAAUUGACAAACCCCAGAACUUAAUCUUUCUAACGAUAUAAACAAUAAAAACCCAUUGUUUUAUUUUGCUUUUCUUCCUCGACUAUUAAUCCAUAUGUUUACAUUUAUUUGAAUGGACAUAUCUAUCCUACAUAAAUAGGAACGGAAAGAAUCCGAAUCGUCUAAAUGAGUUAAAAUUAUUAUUGUGUACGUGACGUAAUUAACAGGUAUCAGCGUAUCGUCAUCGUCCAUAAUAAGGUAAGGUUUACCAACGUAUUGGAAAACCGAUAUUUUAUAUUGGAAAACAGAAAACAAAAGUUCGCUGAGACAUCACGGUACGGUGACUCGAGUGAUUUGACUCUUCCCUUUAUACAUUAUUCUGUUCGAAUAUGGUCAUGAAUGGAAAGAUUGAAGUUGGACAUGUAAUAGAAAAAAUAAAUAAACAUUAUAAUAUCGUU